rnacentral:rRNA from 1 species
UUCGAUGGGAAACAGGUCAAUAUUCCUGUACCGAUUCUAGAUGCGAUGUGGGGACGGAGAAGGUUAGGUCAGCCGGGUGUUGGACGUCCCGGUUUAAGCGUGUAGGCGUGCCCCUUAGGCAAAUCCGGGGGGCUGAGCUGAGGCGUGAUGACGAGGAACCACGGUUCCGAAGUGAUUGAUACCAAGCUUCCAGGAAAAGCCACUAAGCUUCAGUCUAGAGUUGACCGUACCGCAAACCGACACAGGUGGGCAGGAUGAAAAUUCUAAGGCGCUUGAGAGAACUCAGGAGAAGGAACUCGGCAAAUUAACACCGUAACUUCGGGAGAAGGUGUGCCCCGGUAGCGUGUAGAGACUUGCUCUCGAAGCGCGAUGGGGUUGCAGUGAAAUGGUGGCUGCGACUGUUUAAUAAAAACACAGCACUCUGCAAACACGAAAGUGGACGUAUAGGGUGUGACGCCUGCCCGGUGCCGGAAGGUUAAGUGAUGGGGUGCAAGCUCUUGAUCGAAGCCCCGGUAAACGGCGGCCGUAACGAUAACGGUCCUAAGGUAGCGAAAUUCCUUGUCGGGUAAGUUCCGACCUGCACGAAUGGCGUAACGAUGGCCACACUGUCUCCUCCUGGGACCCAGCGAAGUUGAAAUGUUUGUGAAGAUGCAAUCUACCCGCGGCUAGACGGAAAGACCCCAUGAACCUUUACUGUAGCUUUGCAUUGGACUUUGAACCGGUUUGUGUAGGAUAGGUGGGAGACUGUGAAGCCGGGACGCUAGUUUCGGUGGAGUCAACCUUGAAAUACCACCCUGAUUUGUUUGAGGUUCUAACCUUAGUCCGUGAAUCCGGAUCGGGGACCGUGCAUGGUAGGCAGUUUGACUGGGGCGGUCUCCUCCCAAAAGGUAACGGAGGAGUACGAAGGUACGCUUAGGGCGGUCGGACAUCGCCCACAAAGUGCAAUGGCAAAAGCGUGCUUGACUGCGAGACCCACAAGUCGAGCAGGUACGAAAGUAGGUCAUAGUGAUCCGGUGGUUCUGUAUGGAAGGGCCAUCGCUCAACGGAUAAAAGGUACUCUGGGGAUAACAGGCUAAUUCCUCCCAAGAGUUCAUAUCGACGGGGGAGUUUGGCACCUCGAUGUCGGCUCAUCACAUCCUGGGGCUGUAGUCGGUCCCAAGGGUAUGGCUGUUCGCCAUUUAAAGUGGUACGCGAGCUGGGUUUAAAACGUCGUGAGACAGUUUGGUCCCUAUCUGCCGUGGGCGCUGGAAUUUGAAGGGGGCUGCUCCUAGUACGAGAGGACCGGAGUGGACGAACCUCUGGUGUACCGGUUAUGACGCCAGUCGUAUCGCCGGGUAGCUAAGUUCGGAAGAGAUAAACGCUGAAAGCAUCUAAGCGUGAAACUCGCCUUAAGAUAAGAUUUCCCGGAGUCUUGAACUCCCUGAAGGGUCGUCGAAGACCACGACGUUGAUAGGUCAGGUGUGGAAGCGCAGCAAUGCGUUAAGCUAACUGAUACUAAUUGCCCGUGCGGCUUGAUC